rnacentral:rRNA from 1 species
CAGCCGCCGCGGGAAUACGAAGGGGGCUAGCGUUGUUCGGAUUAACUGGGCGUAAAGGGCGCGUAGGCGGGUUUUUAAGUCAGAGGUGAAAUCCCAAGGCUCAACCUUGGAACUGCCUUUGAUACUGGAAGUCUUGAGUCCGGGAGAGGUGAGUGGAACUGCGAGUGUAGAGGUGAAAUUCGUAGAUGUUCGCAAGAACACCAGUGGCGAAGGCGGCUCACUGGCCCGGUACUGACGCUGAGGCGCGAAAGCGUGGGGAGCAAACAGGAUUAGAUACCCCAGUAGCCCUGUCUCUUAUACA